CCAGACUCCUACGGGAGGCAGCAGUGAGGACUCUUGGUCAAUGGCCGCGCGUCUGAACCCGCCCCGUAGCGUGCCGGCUGACUGCCCUAUGGGUUGUAAACUUCUUUUAUAAAGGACUAACACGAGGACCGUGUGCCUUUUUGCAUGUACUUUAUGAAUAAGGAUCGGAUAACUCCGUGCCAGCAGCCGCGGUAAUACGGAGGAUCCGAGCGUUAUCCGGAUUUAUUGGGUUUAAAGGGAGCGUAGAUGGGUUGGUAAGUCAGUUGUGAAAGUUUGCGGCUCAACCGUAAAAUUGCAAUUGAUACUGGCAGUCUUGAGUACAGUUGAGGUAGGCGGAAUUCGUGGUGUAGCGGUGAAAUUCUUAGAUAUCACGAAGAACCCCGAUUGCGAAGGCAGCUUACUAAACUGUGACUGACAUUGAUGCUCGACAUGGUGGGUAUCAAACAGGAUUAGAUACCCUCGUA
rnacentral:rRNA from 1 species